UACGGGGGGGGGCAAGCGUUGUUCGGAAUUACUGGGCGUAAAGGGCUCGUAGGCGGCCAACUAAGUCGGAUGUGAAAUCCCCAGGCUUAACCUGGGAACUGCAUCCGAUACUGGAUGGCUUGAAUUCGGGAGAGGGAUGCAGAAUUCCAGGUGUAGCGGUGAAAUGCGUAGAUAUCUGGAGGAAUACCGGUGGCGAAGGCGGCAUCCUGGACCGAGAUUGACGCUGAUGAGCGAAAGCUAGGGGAGCAACCGGGG
rnacentral:rRNA from 1 species